rnacentral:lncRNA from 1 species
GAUCCUCCCUGGCCUCUCCUUGGGCAGAGGAGGUGGUCCAUAAAGCUGCUCUGGAGCCAAAAUAUUGCAGUCACAUCUCGGCAGCGACCUGCCCUCAGGUGGCAUUUUCAAGUCAUGGAGAAGGCGGAGGUGCUGCAGCUCCACCUCAGAGGGCACUGCUGGGGGCUCCGGGGGCAAGGGUUCAGCUGAGAAAGGAAGCAGAUAAUAAGGGCCUCUGGAUUCUCGGAAAAGAAAAACCCUCCUCUUGGCGCACAGCUCCUCUCAGGCUCCUCAAACUUGGCCUCACUGCUAAUGAUUCCUCGCACCCAGAUGGUAGCCAGUCUUCCAAAGCACUUUCAGAGAAAGAGCACUGCGGGUGGCUGACAACGGGCCCUCUUUGCUGAUGGGGACACUGAGACACUGAGACUCACUGAGAUGACAAGACUUGCGGUCUCCUGGCACAGAUCUCUUUCCCUCUGCCUCAAAGCCCUUCCAUCCACCCACCUCCCUGGGGCACUCUAAGCCACCCUCACAGCCCUCUGAUGCCAGUCCUGCUCCCAGGUCAUGCCAGCCCCAUCUUACCCGUCUGGUUUUUGAGUUUGGACAAGCUCCACUCCAGCUGCUCUACCCAACGCAUAUCCUGCUUCUCUUUCUUUAAUGUGCAAAUCUGCCCAAAGCACAGGGGGAAAGGGCCCUGGAGAGAGGGGCUGGUGGCUGGACAGGCUGCCCUCUCCUUCUCUGCCCCCACCCCCACAAAGCCCAGACCCAUGACCACCUCUGGCUCUACUAUUCCCAUUUUACAGAUGCCCAGAAAGAUCCAGUGACCUAUCUAAUGUGGGGGGGCUGAAGGGUCAGAUCUCACCUCCUGCGACAUUUUACUCAUCCUCUGAUGCCACCGGGCCCUCUCUCCUUCUAUAUGUUCAGCACACUCAUCUCUUUCUAAUUGGAGUUGUUGAAAUGACUCCUUCAACUGCAAGAAUGGGCACAGAAGUUAGGAAGGGCUGUCACUGGUCCUCACCUGCUCCUGGCCACCUGGGGUCAUCGUCCUUCCACAUCCCUCCCUCGGAAAACCUCACCUGUGUCAGCUGCGCUUUCAGCAGUGCCUGGUCCUGUAGGGACUGCUCUAACUCCCACUCUGUAUGUGCUUUGCUGCAGCUGGACAACUGGAUGGUGAAGAGUGAGAAGUUUCAAUCUGGAGAGCCUGGGCAUUUCCACACAGUGCCCCUUAACAGGGCUAGGGCUAGGCCCAAUAUACAACUCGGUCAGUAAAGAUCAAGGCAUUUCCCAGCCCGUGGUCUGGUUUUUAAAAGAACACAGUAAAGUUGGAACGGACAGGGAAUGAGACUGAGUUUAUAGCUGGCUAACAGAG